GACGAACGCUGGCGGCGUGCUUAACACGUGCAAGUCGAACGGAAAGGCCCUGCUUUUGUGGGGUGCUCGAGUGGCGAACGGGUGAGUAACACGUGAGUAACCUGCCCUUGACUUUGGGAUAACUUCAGGAAACUGGGGCUAAUACCGGAUAGGAGCUCCUGCUGCAUGGUGGGGGUUGGAAAGUUUCGGCGGUUGGGGAUGGACUCGCGGCUUAUCAGCUUGUUGGUGGGGUAGUGGCUUACCAAGGCUUUGACGGGUAGCCGGCCUGAGAGGGUGACCGGCCACAUGGGAACUGAGAUACGGCCCAGACUCCUACGGGAGGAAGCGGUGGGGAAUAUUGCACAAGGGGCGGAAGCCUGAUGCAGCACCGCGGCGUGCGGGAUGACGGCCUUCGGGUUGUAAACCGCUUUCGCCUGUGACGAAGCGUGGGUGACGGUAAUGGGAAAAGAAGCACCGGCUAACUACGU
rnacentral:rRNA from 1 species